GACGAACGCUGGCGGCGUGCCUAAUACAUGCCAGUAGAACGCUGAAGGAGGAGCUUGCUUCUCUGGAUGAGUUGCGAACGGGUGAGUAACGCGUAGGUAACCUGCCUGGUAGCGGGGGAUAACUAUUGGAAACGAUAGCUAAUACCGCAUAAGAGUAGAUGUUGCAUGACAUUUGCUUAAAAGGUGCAAUUGCAUCACUACCAGAUGGACCUGCGUUGUAUUAGCUAGUUGGUGGGGUAACGGCUCACCAAGGCGAGGAUACAUAGCCGACCUGAGAGGGGGAUCGGCCACCCUGGGACUGAGACACGGCCCAGACUCCUUCGGGAGGCAGCAGUAGGGAAUCUUCGGCAAUGGACGGAAGUCUGACCGAGCAACGCCGCGUGAGUGAAGAAGGUUUUCGGAUCGUAAAGCUCUGUUGUAAGAGAAGAACGAGUGUGAGAGUGGAACGUUCACACUGUGACGGUAUCUGACCAGAAAGGGACGGCUAACUACGUG
rnacentral:rRNA from 1 species